rnacentral:lncRNA from 1 species
CCAAGCUUCAUCUUCCGUUGCAACAGGGCCCUUUUGCUAUUGGUGUGGAAGGAUAAUUGACCCAAUGACAUAGAGUACUUUAAGGACCUACAAAGAAACAAGGAUUAGAACUUUGGCGUGAGAGGAGAAUGGAAAUCACAAAAGAAAAGGGAGGCGAGAGGAGGUAGGGCAGCGGUGGAUGUGGUAGUGGCUUUAGGGCCUCACGCCCAACUUGGAACAAGGGCCUCACGCCCAACCUUCUCUCAAGGUGACAAAGCAAAAUUGCUAAGGAAGAAAGAAACUCUUUUUAUUCAUUCAUCAACUGGAAUUACAAGAUAUCAUGAGGAGGUAUUUAUAGACUUUCCUCAUGAUUUGAAAUUUAAACACAUAAUGAAUGGCGCUCCACAUUUGAAGGCUUGGUUGCUAGAGAAAAGGAAAGAAAGUUGGCCAGCUUUAAGGGGGAGGAUUUGAAAAGUUGUUGGCUCCCAUUUGAAAUUUUCUUGCAUUUAAAUUGUGGCCGACCUCUUGGACUUUGAAAUUGGGUGACGUGUCAACUUGUAUUAGGUGGCAUGGUGAUUGGUUCUUCUGAUGAGGUGGCAUGACGUUGCAUUGGUUUCUUUGAUGAGAUGAUGUGGCCGGCUCCUUAUGCUUGACUUCAUCCUGGUUGGCGUGCUUCCAUUGGUUGGAGUGGUGGUGAGGUGGCCAGCUGAUGUUGAUGUGGAUGCCGAGGUGGUGCUCCAAGGGUGUGCAAAGGUGGUGGUAGAAACAUGCAACAUGUCCUGACUUGGCUUGCUUUCUGACUUAUUGAGACUUGCUUUCUGACUUAUUGAAUUUAUUUAUAGGACUCGAUCAAAGCCACAGUAACCUUGAGUUAAUUGAUUGGAGUCUUUUCUGGAUUCUGGUGCCCGCACC